GGGCCGGUAGCUCAGUCCGGCAGAGCGUCUGACUCUUAAUCAGACGGUCAGGGGUUCAAAUCCCUUCCGGCCCG
rfam:Halosimplex carlsbadense 2-9-1 contig_33, whole genome shotgun sequence.